CACGCUGUGUUAUCUCUCACUCAGCAUCUGUAGGUCUUACUAUCUCUGAAAAAAUGUUGGUUCAGGUUAGAUUUCGUAUUGAUCAAAGUAAAAUUUUACCACUGAAGCAGACCACUUGGCUCAUGAUUUUCUGUCUUCUCCCAACUCAGUUUAUCUCAUUCUAUCAACCUAUCCUUCUAUACUUUCCUCUUUCAGACCGUACAGCUUUACCUUAAUUGAGUCUGCGUGGUGGCAAGCUUUAGUUCAUUGCAAACGAAUUGACUUUUCUUUUGUGUAGCUCCUAAUGUGCAUUAUAAUAAUGUUUCUUAUUGUAUGCAGGAACUUGGUGCACUGCACGACUACUUUGUGGCCUUAACCACAGAAGAUCAUAUCCAGCACUGUGUCAUGCAGGGACUGAAGAAUAUCGCUGCCAUCAGUCUCGCGAUUAACCAUCAGAAUAAAGCUACCAGGUUUCUGAAUGAUCAGUCAACGUCUCAAACCAAGCCGACUUAGUGAAAUUCAUGGCAUCUUCAGAUGGCGGAGAGUCUGCGGGGGCUCAGACAAGCAGGCACACCACAAGUUACACCACACAGCAACUGACUGUUCAGAUGAACUCAAAUGUGCACUUUCUGAAGUGUGAUCUGCUUGUUCACCCUCCCUGUUCCUCUCCUUCCUCUCCCAUGCGCCGUGAUGGGCCCACACCUCAUGAGUGCUCCCAGGGUUCCAUGUUGACUGAAAUUCAGUCUUGGUUCCUCGUCGCUGAUGGUGGAUUAAGAUCCCUCUCCAUUGACUAGCAGCUUCUGUUGCAAGUGCUUUCUACCAAGUUUUUUUUGACCUGUGUUCAACAUCUGACUAUAACUGGGCACAAAGUAAAGAUAAACUUAAUUUGGCCACUCCUACCUUUAGAACUACUAAUAGGUUACCUAGAAUUGAAAUUUCAUGUGGAAUUGGUCAUUUAUUUUUGGCACUGAAGUUGUGGAUUUUGCUGCUGGUUGGUUGAAUUUUAUUGCAGUGGGAGAUUGUUGAUCCUUUUAAAGAAGGUAAUCUCCCAUUUUCACAUGUACCAAAGUAGGAAUUUUUAUCACCUGGCAAGGGCUUAUUCUGUUCAGCAUGUAGGUGUCUUGCCGAGAUAAACCACAGGUUGGAAAGGCCAUGGAAUCAAACAGGUAGUACGACAUUUGAAGAAGUCUUCACGUUCCCAGUUGUCCUAACCAUCCCCUCCCUCAACUCAGCGGAACUGUAAAAACCCUGUAACUCGAGAACACUGGCUUGACAUCUGUUGAGUCUGUCAUAGAGGAUGUGUAAUUUUCAUUUAAUUAUUAGAGCUUAUUUUUUAUUUAAGUUUAGCUUAUAGCGCCAUUUCUAACUUUGUACUCCCCUUUGAAGCGGAGGUUUCUUUUUUUGCUUCCAUCUCCUCCUCCCUCUGAGUCCUCCCUCACUCACCAAUUCCAAUGCUGCAUAGAAAUUCUGAAUGUAUAAUGCUGUUGAUAUUAUGUGAUGCGGGUACCAAUUAUGCAGUUGAAAAUAAUGGACAAGUUUAAAAUAUUCACUCAGUUGUAAUAUUUGCUGAGCUGUUUUAAAUAAUAUGCCAACUUGGUAAUGUUCAAUAAAAUAGAAACUAAGAAAUGUCCAAUUUGUUUCUUUUAACAUGAAAGUUGGGAAUUUGAAGACCCCUUGAGGCAUUAGAUAACACAAUCUGUGAAGGGAGGCGUGAGUUUAAUGCAAAUCUCACAAUAACAUGGUACCAUUAAGAGAUUUACUGUGGGGAAGGCACAAAUGAGCUUUAGAAAAGGAUAGGAAAGGGAAGUGAGUGUGCAUGGUUAAUGAAUAUAUUACGAAUAAAACAGUGUUCAAGGCAAAAUCAGACCGUAUCCUUUGAAAAGAGGAAUAUGAAUGAUUUACAUGGAAACUCUGUUUUCGACAACCCAAAACCGAGAAAUAAAUACCUCGGGUUGUGAAGUGUAAGAUGGCGCUCUGCAUACCUGAGUGGUAAAUAUGUCACAGAUUGAUGUUGAAAGAAAUUAAAAAGAGAGACUUCUUGAUGUUUAAAUUUCCAGUUCUCCAACUGCCAAGAUUAUCUCCCAUUGAACAUUUUUUCCUAUUUAAUCAAUCACAACAGGCCUAUUGGUCAGUAUUAACUCUCCAAUCUGGAGCAUACCUGAAGCUAAAGCAACAUUUUUUCUGACUGUGAGCUAACUCUCCAAUGUUGUGUUGUGGGAAGGAUUAUCCCAGCUGUAAGACUUUUGUUUCUCCUUGGUGCUUUCUAUUGUUAGUACUGAGAUGGAGAGACCUGUCAUCUCCCCUUUGAUUCCACAUAAAGGAAGUGAGCGUCAAAUGUUUUGGUAUCAGGCUAGAUUUUUCAACAUAAUAGUGGGGUCGGAAUAAUAUUUAUCUGCAAUUGUGUGUUUGUUUUUUCAGAAAAAGAAACCCAGUCUGUUUUUGCACAACAAUAUCUCAAAGUACCAGAGGCCAGUUUGUGGUGUGAAGUUGUCAUUGGCUUUUCAAACUUUGAAAUUUAAGGUCAAGUGGAUGACUUGACUCCGAGGUUUUUGAAAAACAGACAAUGCAAUUUGUGACAUCCUAUUCAGAGUGCUCUCACUAGAGUUAUAGGCAGUGAUAUUUGUAAAGCGACAGAGAUGUGAUGAUGGAUAGUGGAGUUCUCAGACUGCCUGAUUCAAACAUUUUUUGAGACUUAAUGUAAGUCCAAACUGUGCAAUUUCAAUGUGCAUUUUUUCCCUCUGCAAUUAUGUUCAUACAGUGUGUAUGGAGGCUAUUCAGCCUGCUGAACCUAUACUGACUCUGAAAGAACUACCUAAUUGGGCCCCGCUCACCUCUUUUCUCGUAAAUAAUAUGCCAACUUGGUAACAUUCAAUAAAACAGAAACUAGGAAAUGUAA